rnacentral:rRNA from 1 species
UGGGGAAUAUUGCACAAUGGGCGCAAGCCUGAUGCAGCCAUGCCGCGUGUGUGAAGAAGGCCUUCGGGUUGUAAAGCACUUUCAGCGAGGAGGAAGGUGGUGGACUUAAUACGUUCAUCAAUUGACGUUACUCGCAGAAGAAGCACCGGCUAACUCCGUGCCAGCAGCCGCGGUAAUACGGAGGGUGCAAGCGUUAAUCGGAAUUACUGGGCGUAAAGCGCACGCAGGCGGUUUGUUAAGUCAGAUGUGAAAUCCCCCGGGCUCAACCUGGGAACUGCAUUUGAAACUGGCAAGCUAGAGUCUCGUAGAGGGGGGUAGAAUUCCAGGUGUAGCGGUGAAAUGCGUAGAGAUCUGGAGGAAUACCGGUGGCGAAGGCGGCCCCCCUGGACGAAGACUGACGCUCAGGUGCGAAAGCGUGGGGCAGCAAACAGGAUUAGAUACCCUGGUAGUCCACGCUGUAAACGAUGUCGAUUUGGAGGUUGUGCCCUUGAGGCGUGGNUUCCGGAGCUAACGCGUUAAAUCGACCGCC